UCUCGUUCUCUCGUUUCAGCU
rnacentral:miRNA from 1 species